rnacentral:misc_RNA from 1 species
UGCACUGCGCAGCAGGUGUGUGCAUUUUGUGCCUCUGUGUUGCAUUUUAUUCUUUACGAUGUUUUACAGCAAUAUCCAUAGCAAGUUUUCACUUUACUAACAAGAUGUUAGGAUUGUUAUACAUGUACUAGUAUAAAUACAGAAUUGAAUUGUAGUUUUGGGUUGUGGACUGACUACAACCAGUAGAAGAACAGAAGAAAAGAGGAAGAAAUAGAAGAAAUUUGAGGAGGAGGAGGAGAAGAAGAAGAAGGGAAGAGACAGAGAGAUCGAG